GACGUAGGGCGCGAGCGUUGUCCGGAUUUAUUGGGCGUAAAGAGCUCGUAGGCGGCUUGUUGCGUCGUCUGUGAAAUCCCGCGGCUCAACUGCGGGUCUGCAGUCGAUACGGGCAGGCUAGAGUUCGGUAGGGGAGACUGGAAUUCCUGGUGUAGCGGUGAAAUGCGCAGAUAUCAGGAGGAACACCGGUGGCGAAGGCGGGUCUCUGGGCCGAUACUGACGCUGAGGAGCGAAAGCGUGGGGAGCGAACAGG
rnacentral:rRNA from 1 species